rnacentral:rRNA from 1 species
UUAUUCCGGGGGAUAACAGUCAGAAAUGACUGCUAAUACCGCAUAAGCGCACAGGGCCGCAUGGCCCGGUGUGAAAAAACUCCGGUGGUAUAAGAUGGACCCGCGUUGGAUUAGCUAGUUGGUGGGGUAACGGCCCACCAAGGCGACGAUCCAUAGCCGGCCUGAGAGGGUGAACGGCCACAUUGGGACUGAGACACGGCCCAGACUCCUACGGGAGGCAGCAGUGGGGAAUAUUGCACAAUGGGGGAAACCCUGAUGCAGCGACGCCGCGUGAAGGAAGAAGUAUCUCGGUAUGUAAACUUCUAUCAGCAGGGAAGAUAGUGACGGUACCUGACUAAGAAGCCCCGGCUAACUACGUGCCAGCAGCCGCGGUAAUACGUAGGGGGCAAGCGUUAUCCGGAUUUACUGGGUGUAAAGGGAGCGUAGACGGUGUGGCAAGUCUGAUGUGAAAGGCAUGGGCUCAACCUGUGGACUGCAUUGGAAACUGUCAUACUUGAGUGCCGGAGGGGUAAGCGGAAUUCCUAGUGUAGCGGUGAAAUGCGUAGAUAUUAGGAGGAACACCAGUGGCGAAGGCGGCUUACUGGACGGUAACUGACGUUGAGGCUCGAGAGCGUGGGAGCAAACAGGAUUAGAUACCC